AUCCAGUUGGUACUUCCUGUUUACUAAGGCUAAAACCUGGGAGGAGAGCAGACAGGAAUGUGUGGAGAGAGGAGCAGACCUGGUGAUCAUAAACAGUGAAAAGGAACAGGAGUUUCUCUUCAACCUCAACAGUAGUUUUUGGAUUGGUCUGACUGACUCUGUUACUGAGGGGACCUGGAAAUGGGUGGACGGAAACCCACUGACCACCCCAAGGUUCUGGGGGAGUGGACAGCCUAAUGGUGAUGAGUCGGAGGACUG